CCUGGCCAGUUUGCCCAGGAUUCACUUCACUCUCCCAGAGCAGGAGACAUCCUGGUGACACAGGGAAUACCCUAGCCCCUGCCCAUGUUACCUCAGACAAGAUGUCUCCACCUCUCUUAGCCUUGGUUUUCCCAAGCAUAGCUUGGUAUAGAGAUAGCCUCAACUUCUCAGGUUAGUUGUAUGGGUGGGCCUGGCAUUUAUUAAAACAGAAAUAAGUUGGUGGGGGGGGGGGCAUGUAGUGGCCAGAGGGUGUCAGUCUUCAGACAUCAUUCACCUUUCUUUGCUCUGUUUUGCUUUUAUAUUUUGUUUGAUUCUUUCAGUUUCCUGGGGCUUGCCAAGCAGGCUAGUCUGGCUGGCUAGUGAGCCGCGGGGAUCCUCCAUCUCUGCCUCCCCAGUGCUGGGUCUGCAAGCUCAUGCUACCCACACCCAGUGUUGUUCCUGGGGGUCCUGGGGCUCAAACUCAGAUCCUCACGCUUGUAAAGCAACCGCUUUACCGAUGGAGCCGUCUCUCAGCCCUAUAAGCUUUUGAUGUUGUUCCUAAGAGUCAUUUUAAAGCAUCCUAAGAAAAACAUUUCUAAAGCCACGGCUGGGGAAUGGUCUAAAACAAACCAAAGCAAUGCCCAGAGAGACAGCAAGCAGCGGGGCCUCGGAUAGGGACAGCAGGGAGGCGCCCAGCCUGGCAGCUUCAGCUUGGAGCCACACCAGCUGGGGGUUGGGACUGCAGGUCUCACAUCUUUGAGCCUGCCCUGUAUCUGUGCCUUAGCCAGGCGGUGGGUUCCAUAGCUAUGUGCUUUUCCGUGAACUCACAGAGCACCUAUUAAAUACCCAUGCGUCUCCAUUAGUCAGUUAUACGGAGGAAACCACGGUCUGCCCUCUGUGUUCACAAGUCUGUGCCCAGGCUCAGCUACACCAGGGAAAUACUUGAAAAGAGAUUGUGCCUGGCACAGUGGUUGCACCCCUGCCAUCUGACCACUCAGGAGGCUGAGGCAGGAGGAUCAUGAGUUUGAGGCUAGCCUGAGCUAUGUAGUGAGAUCCUGCCUCAAAAAAUAAAAUAAGGAAAGGGAUCCAUACUGAAUACAGAUUGGCUUUUUUCUUGUUAUUGCCCUAACAAAGCCGACCGGCAGCUAUUUCAACCCACUGACAUAGUAUUUGCAUCUCAUUUGCAUUGUGCCUGGUAGUUCAGGCUCUCCGGAAUACGCUUCGCACUGCACAGGCACCAUGGAGGAGCACAUAGUACCACGCACAUGGCAGAUGUCGGACACAAGUGAUGUGUUGUUUAUAUGGGAGAUGCGACCGCUACAGAUCUGGGGAGGAAGUGAGGUCACUGGGGGUGUGGCCUCAAAGGGGACUUGGGGAGCUUGGUCCAGCCUUCCCUUUGUGUGCUCUGCCACUGAACCCUGACAGAUGUGUUACAUAAGCCCCCAACGACAGGGCCAAGGAUCAGGGGAUGGAGCCUCCCACAUGGCGAGCUGAUAGAACUCCUGCCUCUUUAUUCCUGCCUCGUCUCUGUCAAAGACCCUGGCUUGCUGGCCGCAGGAAGUGGAGAGAGAGAGAGACAGCUUAAAGCUGCUCAGCCAUGAAGGCUGAAGCAGAUGCCGGCCGCAGAGGAUGGAUCCAGGUCCCUAAACAAAAAGCAGUAUUCACAACAGCGGAGUUCUAGGACCAGACACGAAACCCAGCGACCAGUGAAUGGAGAAGGAAGAUGUUUUGCUCAGCCAUCAAGAAUGAAAUGCUGUCAUUUUCAAGAAAAUUGAAAGAACUAGAAGUCGUUGUCGUCGUCGUUGUCGUGUUAAGGAAAAUAAACCGUAUCACAAAGACAAAAUUCGUGUUUUCUUUCACGCAAAAUCUAGAU